rfam:Schistosoma mattheei strain Denwood, Zambia genome assembly, scaffold: SMTD_scaffold0000021
AUCCAGAUGAUGAGUCUCAAAUAAGAAGAAACGAGCGUUCUGGAU